AGUUCCCUGCUUUGCGCGUGAUGGCGGACGGCUCGUUUGAGCCAACGUAUCACCCAAGUGAGUCGCGACGCCGCGCGGUGUGCAUGCCUCUGUAGCGAGGAAGCCUGAAACGCGGCUUUUAGAGCGGUUCCACCUGCUAUCGCAGGUUCAUCGACCUCCCCACACGGCAAAGCGGGGCCUUU
rnacentral:other from 1 species